UACGGAGGAUCCAAGCGUUAUCCGGAAUCAUUGGGUUUAAAGGGUCCGUAGGCGGUUUGGUAAGUCAGUGGUGAAAGCCCAUCGCUCAACGGUGGAACGGCCAUUGAUACUGCCAGACUUGAAUUAUUAGGAAGUAACUAGAAUAUGUAGUGUAGCGGUGAAAUGCUUAGAGAUUACAUGGAAUACCAAUUGCGAAGGCAGGUUACUACUAAUGGAUUGACGCUGAUGGAUGAAAGCGUGGGUAGCGAACAGG
rnacentral:rRNA from 1 species